GAUGAACGCUGGCGGCGUGCUUAACACAUGCAAGUCGAACGGAAAGGCCCAAGCUUGCUUGGGUACUCGAGUGGCGAACGGGUGAGUAACACGUGGGUGAUCUGCCCUGCACUUCGGGAUAAGCCUGGGAAACUGGGUCUAAUACCGGAUAGGACCACAUUUUGGAUGGUGUGGUGGAAAGUUUUUCGGUGUGGGAUGAGCUCGCGGCCUAUCAGCUUGUUGGUGGGGUAAUGGCCUACCAAGGCGUCGACGGGUAGCCGGCCUGAGAGGGCGUACGGCCACAUUGGGACUGAGAUACGGCCCAGACUCCUACGGGAGGCAGCAGUGGGGAAUAUUGCACAAUGGGCGCAAGCCUGAUGCAGCGACGCCGCGUGGGGGAUGACGGCCUUCGGGUUGUAAACUCCUUUCGCUAGGGACGAAGCGCAAGUGACGGUACCUGGAGAAGAAGCACCGGCUAACUACGUG
rnacentral:rRNA from 1 species